UGCUGCGCUGCGGCGGCGGCUCCGGGGCCUGAACCCGGGUCUGAACCCGGGCCUCGGCGCCGUUGUAUUUCCCCUUUUGAAGCUUUGCGUUUGUUCCUUGUUAAAUUUUGAAGUACAACUCCUCGCAGGAUCAUGCUGGCCCAGCGCGUCGAGAUGACAGCAAGAGACUGUUGCUGCCACCACACGCUGCACCUGGAGAAACUCCUCUGGGAAAG
rnacentral:lncRNA from 1 species